rnacentral:rRNA from 1 species
CCUACGGGUGACAGCAGUGAGGAAUAUUGGUCAAUGGACGAGAGUCUGAACCAGCCAAGUAGCGUGAAGGAUGACUGCCCUAUGGGUUGUAAACUUCUUUUAUAAAGGAAUAAAACGAGGCACGUGUGCCUUUUUGCAUGUACUUUAUGAAUAAGGAUCGGCUAACUCCGUGCCAGCAGCCGCGGUAAUACGGAGGAUCCGAGCGUUAUCCGGAUUUAUUGGGUUUAAAGGGAGCGUAGAUGGGUUGUUAAGUCAGUUGUGAAAGUUUGCGGCUCAACCGUAAAAUUGCAAUUGAUACUGGCAGUCGUGAGUACAGUUGAGGUAGGCGGAAUUCGUGGUGUAGCGGUGAAAUGCUUAGAGAUCACGAAGAACCCCGAUUGCGAAGGCAGCUUACUAAACUGUGACUGACAUUGAUGCUCGAAAGUGUGGGUAUCAAACAGGAUUAGAUACCCGGGUAGUC